UACGAACCGUCCAAACGUUAUUAGGAAUUACUGGGCUUAAAGGGUUUGUAGGCGGCGCUGUUAGUCGGGUGUGAAAUCCCUCGGCUUAACCGGGGAACUGCGUCUGAUACUGGAUGGCUUGAAUCCGGGAGAGGGAUGCGGAAUUCCAGGUGUAGCGGUGAAAUGCGUAGAUAUCUGGAGGAACACCGGUGGCGAAGGCGGCAUCCUGGACCGGCAUUGACGCUGAGGAGCGAAAGCCAGGGGAGCAAACGGG
rnacentral:rRNA from 1 species